AUUAUCCUUUGGUAUUGUCAUAUCUUCUACCAUUUUGCUUGAAUCUUAAGAGCCAUUUGUCUUCUGUGAUUACUUCAUUAUAACUUUAUAUGUUAUUGUGGAUGUAAAGCACGUUUGGUUUAUAGUAUUAAAUAUUGAUGUACAUUGUGACCUAUGGAUGAUUCAACCCAUCAUACAAUUGCCAAACGCUCGUCUAAGAGAACUUAUGUCUAGAGUUGUUUAUAUUAAGAUCCAACCCAAUCAACCGAUUCAUUGUUUCUUGUUUAACAUCUCACAAUUAUGUUUUCACCCCUUUUUUCUCAAAUAUUUCCAACUUGUAAGGUAGCCAGUUCUUCCCCUACAGCUAGGGCCCACGCGGCCCUGGCAAUGUAGCAGCUCUCAUAAUAUUAUAACGUUAUUACAUCCCUAAUAACAAAAUGAAUUUGAAACUGCUAUCCAUCUAAAAACCUAGCUACUUAAUGUAUACAAAAUCUAGCGCCAAAAUCUCUUUUGUGUGCUCCUUCACGAGGAUAUUGAUUGAGAAUUGGAAGCUUCUACAGUCCCAAAUAGAGUCAUCUUUCGAAACUUUUACUGAUCUUGUACACGAUGGAUACCGAAAUAGUUUAGAUACGACCUCCUGUCUUCUUGGGUGGAAUACGGUGUUUUUUUGCUAUUCCGAUGAUCCUACAAAAAAGUGGCUAGGGCUUCCUCCCUUGUUUUACCUCCGGCGUGUGAAUUAGUGAUUUUUUGUGGAUGAAUGAUUUAAAUAACAGUGAGAGAAUGACAGGAGAUUUUUUUUUUUUUUUUUAAAAAGAAAAGAGAGUCCACAUACAUGGUACGCCUAUGAGGUAUUUAUAGAUGCUUGGCAUCGUGUAACUAUAAGGCAAUUAUCAUGCACAUGUCUAACGCAGCACACCCACACACAGGACGAUUUUCACAUACUUGCUAAGCGGUUAUCCUCCAUCUACCGAUUAGAUAAUGAACUUAACAAUAACCGUCAAACAAUUUUCAAUUAGUUCUAAGCAUGUCUGGG
rnacentral:lncRNA from 1 species